rnacentral:lncRNA from 1 species
CACUUGUUCGUUCUGUGACUUUGGCAUAUCAGACAACUGGCUAUUCUCACUCUGCUUGGAUGCUUCCAGUGACAGGGGACUCACUACUUCUCCCAGCAAAUUGUUUCACUAGUAGAUAGUGCUUCUGGAAUUUUAUGGAAUUUUAAAGCUGAGAGGAACGUUAUAAAUCAAGUGUAACUGCCUCACGAGAAAACCCAAGUUCAAGAGGUGAAAUGAGGCCGGGCACGGUGGCUCAUGUCUGUAAUCUCAGCACUUUGGGAGGCUGAAGCGGGUGUUCGAGACCAGCCUGGGCAACAUGGUUAAACCCUGUCUCUACUAAAAAUACAAAAGUUAACCAGGCAUGGUGGUGCAUGCCUGUAAUCCCAGCCACUUGGAAGCUGAGGCAUGAGAAUCACUUGAACCCAGGAGGUGGAGGUUGCUGUGAGCCAAGAUUGCAUCACUGCACUCCAGCCUGGACAACAGAUCGAGACUCCGUCUCAAAAAAUAAAUAAACAAACAAAUAAAUAAAUAAAUAAUAAAAUUCUACCUUCAAAAUUACUGUCUCCUAAUACUUUAUAACUACUAUGUAGUUUGAAGAUGAUCUGUUCUCUCUCUGGAAGCUUUUAGAGCUUUCUCUUUGUCAUAUUAUUAUUAUUAUUAUCAUUUUGAGAGAGGGUCUUACUCUAUGGCCCAGGCUGGAGUGCAGUGGUGCAUGAUCACAGCUCACUGAAGCCUUGACCUCCUGGGCUAAAGUGAUCCUCCUGCCUCAGCCUACCCAGUAGCUAGGACUACAGGCAAGUGCCACCAUGA